GGGACUGUGGCUCAGUGGUAGAGCACUUGCCUAGCAUACAUGAGGCACUGGGUUCAAUCCUCAGCACCA
rnacentral:tRNA from 1 species